rnacentral:rRNA from 1 species
GAUGAACGCUGGCGGCGUGCCUAAUACAUGCAAGUCGAGCGAACAGACGAGGAGCUUGCUCCUCUGACGUUAGCGGCGGACGGGUGAGUAACACGUGGAUAACCUACCUAUAAGACUGGGAUAACCUCGGGAAACCGGAGCUAAUACCGGAUAAUAUGUUGAACCGCAUGGUUCAAUAGUGAAAGACGGUUUUGCUGUCACUUAUAGAUGGAUCCGCGCCGCAUUAGCUAGUUGGUAAGGUAACGGCUUACCAAGGCAACGAUGCGUAGCCGACCUGAGAGGGUGAUCGGCCACACUGGAACUGAGACACGGUCCAGACUCCUACGGGAGGCAGCAGUAGGGAAUCUUCCGCAAUGGGCGAAAGCCUGACGGAGCAACGCCGCGUGAGUGAUGAAGGUCUUCGGAUCGUAAAACUCUGUUAUUAGGGAAGAACAAAUGUGUAAGUAACUAUGCACGUCUUGACGGUACCUAAUCAGAAAGCCACGGCUAACUACGUG